CAGGCUUGUGGCCAGGCGGAAGGUUUGUCUCCAGAGCGUGUGGAACUGAGAAGGAUGCUCAGUGUCAGAGUUUCUGCUGAAUGGGUCAAUAAGCCCACCUCAGGUGUGGUGAGAACGUCUUUCAUGGGCUGCCUGGGAAGCACUACUGAAUGUAAUGCAGCACUGACCCUCCUGUGAAUCGAUUUCUCAGAAUGCCAUGCCACGCAGAUGAGAAGCCUUUGUCAGACAGUUUGGGUCAAGUCUGUCACCUGAUCCCUGACCUACAGCUUGUGGGAGCGGAGUGCAGUGGAUGAAGUCAUCAGAAAAGUGCAAAGGUCAUGGGUCCUUGUGGGGAGAGGUGGUUGUGCAAGGAGAACAGUGUAUUCAAAAUAAAUCAUUAAAUCAAAGAUGCCAGCCCUGGGCAGCUGUGUCUCUGCGCUGUGUCUGGUGUCUGUGGCUGGGUGGCUGCAAGAGCUCUCACGCCAUGGGUUUGAAGUGUAUGGUCACCACUCAGCAUCAGAGAAGAGUUAGUGUGCAGUGCUGUGUGCCUUGCUCCCCUAACCUGAAGGACAAAAGCCUACAGUGAGAAGGAUUUUUCAAAGGAGUGCAGCAGGCAAGCAGAAAAAAGAAGGGAAUUGUGGUGUUGCAGCUAUUCAUUGCAUCUGUUGUAGGUGGAUUGUCGACAAUGGUUGUUAUGCAAACUCUGAGCACUGGCUUCAGGAGCUUCUUGGAAACCUGCAAUGAGUAAUCUUCAUGUUUCUGCCAGGUCUACAAAGAGGGAGGGUGCAGUUUUGCCACAGGGCUGUUCAGAUUUUUUCCUCCUCUCCCCUUCCAUAUGGGGAAGAAUAAAGUGAAGAAACAACAUUUUCAGAGAAGAAAGACUUGGAAAGAGUUUUUGUUUUCUGGGAGUCUGCUACAGCUGUUAAUUUGUGGAAAACCUCAGUGGAAAGUCAGCAAUAUGGCAGCAUCACUUUACACGAGAAUCCAGUGAUGGCCCUGCUCCAAGCCCUGGCUGUUUUAGGUUCUUGGCUUGCACAGCCAAACCUUCAUGUAGUGUCAUGCUUUUUUAUAGAUAAUGUUGAUGCAGCUGUGGAAGGCUCUGAUGUUCUUUUUUUUUUUAACGUGGAAUUGUCGUCAUUCAAUCAAGCUUAAGUAUUGUGGAGCUGUGAUGUUGUUUGUCUUUGGUUGUUAGAUGUUGGCGGGUGAGUCCAAGACGGCCUGAGAUGUUGUUUGGGAAAAAGAAAAGACUCCCUCCCUUCCUCCCUGCCUUCCCCACAGAAAUGCACACAGACCAUAACUUCCAUCCAAAAAUGCAGGAAUGCUGAGAAAAAUUGGAGCUGGGCUUGAACAUUGCGGGCUGGGCCCCCCCCGCCUCUCCAAAGCACGCACGCUCUUCUCUUCCUGUAGACUUUGUUCCUCUCCAGCAUUUGUCAUGCAUAGUUGGUGGCACAUCAAGAUUUUGAAUACUGUACUGAAUGCAACAACCUCUUUUUUUUCUUGGAUGGACAUUUUGUUUGUGGAGAAUGCAGCAUGGUGCUCAGCUGUCUGGGCAGAAAUGAACAUUGAAUGAAAUGAAAUUUUCAGCUAUGUGACAGCUAGUAGAUCAGAGAUUAGUUUUCCAGUAGAAAUGUCCAAUUAUUUAAACCUCUCCAGCAGAUGAAAGAGCUUUUGACAAUCUGUUUUGCUGAAAAGCCCUGCAAUUUGUUUGGCAUAGAUUAGAUGACCUAUUAGAGAUGAGAAAAAGGGAAAAAGAUUUAUAAUUAAUGUCAGCCCAGCCGUUAACUUGGGGAGUAUUGCUGAAUUGUAGCACAAGUCAUAUCGUUCAGCUAUUUCUGCAGUGACAAUUCAUGUGUAUAUUGCAGUGUGUGUCAGCAGCUUUCUGUGCAGCUGUGUUUGGUUGCAGGGUCUUGAGUUUCCCAUUCCCAGGUAAUGCAUUAACAUGCUCAGCUGCUUCUCCAAGGCCCUGCCUCCUUUUUGAAGGCAGGCCUUUAUGAAUGGGUAAGCCCCAUGUUUUUCCAGCGCUACCUUGUCACACAAUGACUGAUCCACUCACCUCCUUAUCUCUGGGCCAUAUGACUUUGAGUGUAUCUUCCUUGCCAACUUGGCUAGGUAUCAUGUUUCUUUCCCUGAGGGUGACUUAGGGCAGAACCCUUGAAUCCCUCAGAGUUUCCUGGAGCUCCUGGAAAGAAGAGGAAAACCAGAGAUGGGCCAGAAAGAAGCAGGCAGAGAAAGAUGAAAGAAUUUGGGGGUGGGAAGUACUCACUUUUGGAAUGAUCCUCCUCCUGGAUGGCCUAAGGCAAAGUAAUUUACACUUUUCGGCAACAUGCAGAAUUGCCCAGCCCUUACUCUUAUGAGUAAACAUUUCAAAGGUGCCUGCAGGGCCCUCUAUUUAUAUUUUUAUAAGCUACUUAGUCUCCUUUGAGUCUCAGGCUGUAUCCCCACUGCCAAUAGGGGAGUUUGCUCGAAGUGCAGUAGUGUCUCUUGGUGACAUCUGAGCUAGACUGAAGCAGCUGAGCUGCUUGAAGUAGUUUACUGCACAGCAGUCCAUGUUUCAAAGCACUGUACCUGCCUGCUGCAUUAUCUUUCUUGUGCCAACUCUUGUUUCAAGUAAAAGCUUUCAUUGCAACCCUACCUUCUCUGCAGCCGCUCGCUGAGACUCAAGACAUAGCACAGUCCUGGUAGGGUAUUGGGUUCAGGAGCUGGACUCACUUUGGUCUUUUUGUAAACUUUUUAUAUGGCUGAACCCACAAUCUGUGUUAGCACUGUUAAAUGCUUUCCUGUUUUCCUCUUCCCCUUGAACUUAUGCUGCUGUUCUAACCGAGAAUCGUAUUCUGUUUCUAAUGACAGAGCAAAGGUGCCAAAAUAUUUCAGUAGCUCCCCUAGGAACAUCUGCAACUUCUUUAGCUAUUUUCACAGCUGGCCAUAACUUUAUGUUAUUUUUGAAUGCUCGUAGCACCAAAUCUGGGAUCCUGGAGGAGAACAAUGGCUAAUUUCCUUGUAUCGGAAUUUGUAAUUUGCAAGAAGAUGCACUAGCAACUUUGAAUAAAUGCUGAGAGACGGAACUAAGAGGGAUUUUUCAUCUGAAAGGCAAAGUUGCUAAACUCCAGAGUUUAGACUGGUGUUCUGACAUAUGGUGUCAGAUAAGCUGGGGUUUGGUAAGGUCGAAACUUAUAGAAAUUUCAACUGAUAGUGCAACUACUGCUGAGAUUCAUGCUGCCCAUGUAGCAGAAGCUCCAUUGGAUCACUGCCUCCAGUAUGGUUGCUGUUAUCUUUGCUGGAAAUAGGAAGAGUAAAUUCUUACAGCUCUAAUGUGAGACUGAGUUCUUGGGGCUGGAAUUAAGUCAGGGAGUUUGAACUUCUACCCAGUGAAAUUCCUGUGGACCUUUAAUUGCCGCUCUGAUUUAUUACCUGCUAGUUGUGCUUAGCUGGUCUGAAAGUGAAAACAAGCUCAAGUUAUUUAAUCAAUAUAUUGAUCUAUCGCUCAUAAUUUGUGCUGUACCUCUUCACUCCCUAUACUGGUCUAUCAAAACAUGUAAAAAUAUGCUGGAAAGGUUCCAGCUUAUUUAACCACUAAGAAAUGUAUAAGAACCAAAAAAAGUCUGAGGCUUAUCUCACCCACAGCAACUGCACCCUGACCCUCAAUGAGUAAUGGGCUGUGCACUGUUUCUCGAGGAGGCAGAUCUGCAGUUGUGAUAUGAGCAUGGCUAAGAGUAGUGCUUGCAGGAUGAGAAACAGAGAACAGACUCAUAGAAUCAUUAAGAUUGGAAAAGAUCUCUAAGAUCACCUAGUCAAACCAUCAACCCAUCCCCACCAUAGCCAAUAACCAUGUCAUUCACUGCCACAUCUACAUGUAUGUGGAACACCUCCAGGGAUGGUGAUGCCAUCCUCUCCCAGGGCAACCUGUGCUACUGCCUCACUGCUCUUUCUGAGAAGGAAUGUUUCCUAACAUGCAACCUGGAUGUCUCCUGGAGCAACUUGAGGCCAUUACCUAU